rnacentral:rRNA from 1 species
UACGUAGGGUGCAAGCGUUAAUCGGAAUUACUGGGCGUAAAGCGUGCGCAGGCGGCUAUGCAAGACAGAUGUGGAAUCCCCGGGCUUAACCUGGGAACUGCGCUUGUUACUGGCAGGCUGGAGUGUGGCAGAGGGGGGUAGAAUUCCACGUGUAGCAGUGAAAUGCGUAGAGAUGUGGAGGAAUACCGAUGGCGAAGGCAGCCCCCUGGGUUAACACUGACGCUCAUGCACGAAAGCGUGGGGAGCAAACAGG